ensembl:lncRNA
AAGGGAAUUGCGAUGGGGAGAUUAUCCUGGAUUCCUCAGAAGAGGUAGCUGAGGCGCAGAAGUUACGGCAGAUCUUUUUACAGGAGGAAAAAGAUUCUCUUUUGAGGAUGAAUGAAUUUCGCCAACUGAAGGUGAAGGUUGAAGGGCACCAGAGUUGUCACUAUCACUGAUGUCUGUUACAGCAAAAGAGAUAAGGAGUAUGGGAUGGGAUGGUCCCUCCCCCAAAACAGCUGAGAUUUGGCAACAAUGCAGGGACUGGUGCCCCUGAGUUGUGCUCCCUCAUCCCACCCAGAAGGUGGACCAGCAAGUCAGGAUGUAGUGGAAAGUUCUCCACCUGGAUUUUAACACUUUGGAAGUGUCUCCACUCAAAGUCUCUUUCAGGCAGUCUGACUUAACCAUCAAACUAAGACAUCAGCAGAGGGGCAGGUGGGGGACAUAGCAACAAAACAUGCUGACAGUGCUUCAAUCUCACAAGCCUCUUUGGGAAUUGUACCCCCUGAACUGACCUAAAGCUUGUCCUCAUUGCUUGCACUGAUGUUUGAGUUUAUACUAGAUUUGGGAAUGGGUUCAGAGACAAUGGCCCCUGGCUCAUGUGGCUAUUCAGGUUAAGACAGACAAACAAAACCUUAGAC